GAGCCUCCCGUGAUAAAUACAAUUGUCAUAAUCACUCCAAGUGUAACCAUGCCUAAACAUAAAUGCAGCAACCACUAUUACCUCAGAGAUUGCUUCAAACCAUACAAUGAUUUUCUAAACAAGUAAAUAUAAUCCUCUUUAUCCUAAACAACAAAUUCCUCUAGCUGCUACAUGUAAAUCUAUUUCUCAAGCUCACCCAUACAAGAAAGAUGCUUGACAU
rnacentral:lncRNA from 1 species